UACAGAGGGGGCAAGCGUUGUUCGGAAUUACUGGGCGUAAAGGGCGCGUAGGCGGCCUGUUAAGUCGAACGUGAAAUCCCCGGGCUCAACCCGGGAACUGCGUCCGACACUGGCAGGCUUGAAUCCGGGAGAGGGAUGCGGAAUUCCAGGUGUAGCGGUGAAAUGCGUAGAUAUCUGGAGGAACACCGGUGGCGAAGGCGGCUCACUGGCCCGAUACUGACGCUGAGGCACGAAAGCGUGGGGAGCAAACAGG
rnacentral:rRNA from 1 species